rnacentral:rRNA from 1 species
CUUGCUCUGUGGGAUCAGUGGCGAACGGGUGAGUAACACGUGAGCAACCUGCCCCUGACUCUGGGAUAAGCGCUGGAAACGGCGUCUAAUACUGGAUAUGUGACGUGACCGCAUGGUCUGCGUCUGGAAAGAAUUUCGGUUGGGGAUGGGCUCGCGGCCUAUCAGCUUGUUGGUGAGGUAAUGGCUCACCAAGGCGUCGACGGGUAGCCGGCCUGAGAGGGUGACCGGCCACACUGGGACUGAGACACGGCCCAGACUCCUACGGGAGGCAGCAGUGGGGAAUAUUGCACAAUGGGCGCAAGCCUGAUGCAGCAACGCCGCGUGAGGGACGACGGCCUUCGGGUUGUAAACCUCUUUUAGCAGGGAAGAAGCGAAAGUGACGGUACCUGCAGAAAAAGCGCCGGCUAACUACGUGCCAGCAGCCGCGGUAAUACGUAGGGCGCAAGCGUUAUCCGGAAUUAUUGGGCGUAAAGAGCUCGUAGGCGGUUUGUCGCGUCUGCUGUGAAAUCCGGAGGCUCAACCUCCGGCCUGCAGUGGGUACGGGCAGACUAGAGUGCGGUAGGGGAGAUUGGAAUUCCUGGUGUAGCGGUGGAAUGCGCAGAUAUCAGGAGGAACACCGAUGGCGAAGGCAGAUCUCUGGGCCGUAACUGACGCUGAGGAGCGAAAGGGUGGGGAGCAAACAGGCUUAGAUACCCUGGUAGUCCACCCCGUAAACGUUGGGAACUAGUUGUGGGGUCCAUUCCACGGAUUCCGUGACGCAGCUAACGCAUUAAGUUCCCCGCCUGGGGAGUACGGCCGCAAGGCUAAAACUCAAAGGAAUUGACGGGGACCCGCACAAGCGGCGGAGCAUGCGGAUUAAUUCGAUGCAACGCGAAGAACCUUACCAAGGCUUGACAUAUACGAGAACGGGCCAGAAAUGGUCAACUCUUUGGACACUCGUAAACAGGUGGUGCAUGGUUGUCGUCAGCUCGUGUCGUGAGAUGUUGGGUUAAGUCCCGCAACGAGCGCAACCCUCGUUCUAUGUUGCCAGCACGUAAUGGUGGGAACUCAUGGGAUACUGCCGGGGUCAACUCGGAGGAAGGUGGGGAUGACGUCAAAUCAUCAUGCCCCUUAUGUCUUGGGCUUCACGCAUGCUACAAUGGCCGGUACAAAGGGCUGCAAUACCGCGAGGUGGAGCGAAUCCCAAAAAGCCGGUCCCAGUUCGGAUUGAGGUCUGCAACUCGACCUCAUGAAGUCGGAGUCGCUAGUAAUCGCAGAUCAGCAACGCUGCGGUGAAUACGUUCCCGGGUCUUGUACACACCGCCCGUCAAGUCNUGAAAGUCGGUAAC